rfam:Ornithorhynchus anatinus chromosome X1, whole genome shotgun sequence.
CGGUAUGAGUUGGACACGUGGUGCAGUGUGAUAGUGGAAUAAGCUGCAUCACGUGUGACCUCCGUACACCGU